UACGUAGGUGGCAAGCGUUGUCCGGAAUUAUUGGGCGUAAAGCGCGCGCAGGCGGUCCUUUAAGUCUGAUGUGAAAGCCCACGGCUCAACCGUGGAGGGUCAUUGGAAACUGGAGGACUUGAGUGCAGAAGAGGAAAGUGGAAUUCCAUGUGUAGCGGUGAAAUGCGUAGAGAUAUGGAGGAACACCAGUGGCGAAGGCGACUUUCUGGUCUGUAACUGACACUGAGGCGCGAAAGCGUGGGGAGCAAACAGG
rnacentral:rRNA from 1 species